AAUAAAAAUGACGACGAGCAAUCAACUAAGAAGAAGUAAUGGAGUAUAAAUCUCAUAACAAAGUGAAGUGUUUGUUUUUCCACACAGAACAUUAGGGUUAACAGGCUGGCUUCCUGGCAUGUAAACAGCCUUUAUUGUUAGAAAGCUGUUGAAUAUUUCUUGGUAUAAUAGAUGUAGUGCCAAACACAAACUUUAGCCCUUUUCUAAGACAACUUAUUCAUUUCGUGGCCAAAGUGUUUCUCAUUAAAUUGUAUUCCUGCAAUUAGUCAUGCAGUUGAAGGGAGCCGCUACAAGCUCACAAUCCUUUGGUGACAAUAGUUUUUAAUGAGGUCAGUGUUUUGUGUUGUCGACUGUUGCGUGAUAUAGGCUUCCUCCAUCAAAGUGCACUAGUUGGUGAUUUUCUAUUUUUGCAGGGAUUUCAAAGAGCCAGCCAGGUUGCUGUGGUUACAAAAAAAAGGGACGUCUGGGCCCGCAGCAUCGCACAGGUGGGACACUUGCGGGCCAUCUUGCUGUCCAGGCUGCGGUGCGUCUGCUUGUGUCUGCUGAGGUUGGAAGAGGUGGCGUACGUCUUGCCACACUCGUUGCAGGUGUGGCGAGCCGUGCCGGCUACCCCUCUCUCCUGAGCCCCGCCGUUGGCGCUGCUGCUUCUAGAGCCCCCUCCCCGACUCUCGCUGUCUCCCUUCCGCCUCGAUCGCCCGUCAGAGAUGAAGAAGGCAUCCAUGGUGUAACCCUCGGCCAGGGCCUCUGAUUCACCACUGUAGAAGCCGCUGGCCGUCAUGCCAGACUGCGGGCUGUCGGGGUGCUUCAGGUCGGGGUCGCAGUACUCCCCUCCACUGCUCACCUGAGUGUAGAGGGGGUCUGACACCGGCGAGGCCAGCUUGUGCUCCAUCUUCUUCUCCUCCUGGUAUACAGAUGGCGUGAUGUAAUCCUGGAUGUAGCCUGGGUAAGAGACACACGCAAACACAGUUGGCCAGGGGUUGUGAUGGAUAAGGACAUAGUGACAUGCUGCUGAUUACAUGAUUAUCAUGCUGGAUGAACGCCCUGCACGGAAACGGUGAAAAAGUGAGUGGCAGCACAGAGGUAAUUGCAUUUUUUUUGAGAACUCACAGGUUGUACGCACAAUCUGGAAGUGAUGCAGGGAGGCAUGACACACUCUGCUGCGUUCAGGAAGGUUGAAAUUUUACAAUGAGGCUGAACGUUAGAUAAUAGCUCAUCAAGGAAUUCUCCUGUGUAAGAAGAUGCAUAUUAAAGCCCCUCUUAAAUAAAGUAGUCUUAUUAAUGACAGCUUCCUUUCCUCAUGUCAGUUCUCUAUCGCUGAGGUCUGUCUUCAUGUUUGUUUACCAUAACCUGAAACCUUGACAGAUGUCCACACUUUUUAUUUUGUCGUUUUUCUUUAAAAACACAUCCCACAACAUUUAUCUCUAAACAGAUGUUUCUUUUUUCCACAUUGCAACAAAUACCUGAUUUUGUAGGACCAGAUAAACUUGUUACAUAGCUGCUUACAUCCUGUAGGAUUUCAUCUCACUUCUCAAAGCACAAAGCACCACAAGUCAUUUCAAUGCGUCCAACUGCAUAGAACAUGAUUUCAGAGAGAUAUAUUUCUGUUGGCCUCAUUCAUGUCUUUUCUUUCCCUCCCAAGCAGCCCGGUGCCAGAGGAGCUAAAAGGCUUCCUGGCAGCUAACAACACUCAAUACAUUCUUAUGCUGUGAAUAUCAGGAGCGUAAUAAAUACUAUACGCAUUCACCUCCAGGGCUGAUAUUCUAUAGGCUCAACAUGUGAGUGCAAAUGUAAAAUAAAGUGAAACUCUUUUCUUGAGAGAAAUAGUGCAUAGCUGCAGAAAAAAAAAGCCAUCCCUAAGCAGUGUGUGCAGCAAGCGGUGGAAAUUAGUUAUUGACUGCUUUUUAAUGAAAUUCAAAGUUUAGAAGUGAUCAAUAGGCUAUCAUAUGUAAAAUAGUGCAGCUGUUACAGCAGCCGAGCAGGGGAGAAGAUAGAAAUAGUGCGAUGAACAGAUCAAGUAUCUGAGACACACAAUUAUAGUUUGUCGAGGACAGUGUGCUUGAAGCCUGAUAAUGUCAGACAUGGCUUUAAACACAUUGUUUGUGAAGAGGGUCACCUGUGUACCAGCGGAGAGCACGCUGAAGAGCCUCCAAGAAACAGCCCAUUAAGAAAUCAGUUGAAGUGCUCUCUUACUACAGGGGUCUCCAUUCCCAAAGGGGUUCUGUUCACACACGCACUUUGUCAAAGACAUGACCAUGACAACCCGGGGACAGGGAAGCACCAGGUCUGUGCACACAGCACUCCACCGCACUGCAUGAGGUCACAGAUUGUGUUUGUCUGAGAGAGAUCAACAUUUUCUUUCUAAAACUGAAGAGAAGCUAUUUAUCCUUUCUAAAAGGAAAUACCUACCUAAUCAAUUUAACAAAUGCUGCAGCUCUCGCAGCUAAAUCCACCUGAAGGGUCUCUGUACUUCAUGCCGUGUAUGGUCUUUUAUUCCGCUGUUGUUGUUUUUCCACAUAACAAACUGUAUCAGUGUAAGCAGCAUUGUUUACUUUGCUUCAAUCAUCCAAGGUCAGACACAGAGCUCAUCAUUCAGGACCUGCGCUGUAUCAGCCUUUACAGCUCAUGGACUCACUCCUCUAAUGCAAAGUAAGCAUGUAAUUAAUGGACCCUCUCAGCCACCCAUCUUUGUUGUUCCACAGACACUCAAGUCAAAUGUCUCCACAAUGGGGGGAAAGGAAAUCUGCUGGCGCUGCAGAAGUGCUGAUGCCGGGUAUUUCUGCCAUACUGAGAAUUCUUUUAUAUUUUAUCCUUUUGACUCAGCAUGAAAAUAAUCUUUUGUUGAAAUGAACUGCCUUUUUUUGAAACACCAGUGUUGCGCGCUACCUUCUUUUCUGCUCUUUGAUAGAAUGCUUAUGUUGCAUGGUGUUGAACAAUAGACCGAGGAACAAUAGAGAAUAACUGUGAUUAUAAGAAUUGAUUGUUCUCCUGAAAAUAUAAAUCUAUGAUUCAGCAGGAAAUGUAAACAGCGUUGAUUUCAAGCUGCAAAAUGUGCCUGGUAAGCAAAUAGGAAACACAUGUUUUUAUUUCUUGCUUUAAAUUCUUUGAUCUGUACCCAGUUAGCUGGUUUUAAUUCAGCAGUUAAACAUUUCCAACCAGCACAGGAAUCUUUGCUAUUCCACUAAAACCUGAUGCAUCUAAAAUCCACUCGGCCUUGUUAUAGAAGCGGUUGAAUAACAGGUGGGCAGCAUCAUCACAACACUAAGCUGUGAUCUGUGAAGCCUCUCUCGCUGUGGAAAUAACCUGACAAAGCACAACAAAGACACACAUAUGGUCCCUGAAUGUGGCCACAAAAUGGAAGCAGCGAGCUUAAAGCAGAGCGUGAAAGUGAAGGUCGCCUCUCAGCUCAGACCGGAGCUUCCUGUGGCCGGACCGCCGUGUGCUGACCACAGUGCAGCUAUGUGCCUUUCUUCAUGUUUACUGUACAACCUCCAUCACGUGAUCUGCCUCACUGCUGCCCCAAGCAUUUUUGUCUCCCUUUUUCUCCUUCCCUUCGCUCCCCACCUCCCUCCCGGCCGUACUGUACACUGUGCUGAUGUCUCUUGUGGCGACGAUAGGCCUGCACGGCUGAAACUCUAACCCCUGCUAGUUUUUUUUUUUCGAAUGCCCGGAAGGAAGAGAAAGAUGUAGUGGAGUGAUGGGGGUGGGGAGACUGUGCAUGCUCCAUUUGGAUGGGAAGAGGGGGGCAAGGGAGGAUCGGACGGUGAUGGGAACUCAAGGACAAUAACAGCUAAGGACAAAUGUAUCAUCUGAUACUCAUCUCUCAUAUUCAUGAAUUUUUUAGUCCACAUGAGGGCCAGAUAUAGUCAGCGUAUGUGUGUUCAGCCGACACAGCAAUGGUACAGUCAUACAAAUACGUAACUGGAGCUUCUCCUGAUUAUACACACGUUUUGUUCCCUAUUUACAUAAGCUAAUCCGCGGCUGUGACCUGAAUUGUGUCUGUCCUUCACUGGAGUCAAAAAACAAAAGUCUGGGAGCAGGGUGGUGGGGGUGGGGUGCCUCUGGAGAGGAUUAUUUAGGAUAUUAAUGCAAAAAUCAGCUGGCAGCAUGUUACGUCUCGCACUAAUUUACACACUACGAGCAUGUUAUUGGCUCGAGCAAAAGAAAAUCUCACCCGAUGCAAAAACAAAAGACGAUGCCAUCUGUGCUAAGUGUGGAAAUGUCAGGCAUGCUGAAACCAGCAUCAGAGCUGUAGCGCUAACAAAUCUUUUACUGGGAAGACUGCAGGCAUGUUAACUCACCAUUCUCACUAAGACGGACCCCAAGGCUGGUCACCGAGUCUGUGAUGGAGCGUGCAAAAGUGAACGAGUCGUCCAGGUGGUGAUGAUGAUUGGAGGUGGCCACAUUGGACGAAGAGAAAUCAUCAAGCUUGAUCUUCUUCACCAAAAAUGAGCGGGGCAUGUUUCAAUGGAUAAAAACACAGAGCUGAGAAAAACGCAUGAGAGAAAAUAACGGAGACCCUCUGUGGAAGCACGCGUGCAGAGCUGGCUUGACGGUAAUCCUUGCGGUUAAUGUGGAGACAACGGCCAAAAACAUAAGAUAAGAAAGAAAAUGGAAACCAGUGAAGAACAAGGCUGACGGCAAUGCUGUGUGAUACUCUCUGGCUCCCCCAGCUUCCCCCGGAAAAAUAAAAAAAUAAAAAAUAAAAGCGAUCCUGUUCAGCACUGGAUAGCUCCUGUGAUGCAGCAGGCUUAAGGGACCAGUGAGAAAGAGAAGAGAUGGAGACAGACAGAGAGAGGAGGGAGAGAGAGACUGUCAGACUAGCUGAGAUCAGCAAUCACGCCAGCCUUUAUAUGGGGCACAGGCAGUGGAAGAUCAGGUGGUGCUGCGAAAUGGAGCUGCUUAGCUUUAAUCCAUCAAAUGUCCCCGGGGACACACAUCAAAUUACUACUGAACCGUCUGUGCAUUCGCACACAGACAGAGGAGAAAGAACACAGCCAGACCCCCACUGCCCCCACUGCUGCUCCCCCUUCCCCUCCCCUCUUUCACCCUGCCUAUGCUCCAUGCUCGGAGGAGGAGUAAAAGAGGAGGACAGACAAUGGAGAUGUGGAUGAGAGCACACUCAGUGUCCUGUCCCCCAUUGUUUUCAGAUGAAGUGGCACAGUUUAUGUUUGCCUUGUACAGGCGCUGCCUCCCUCAUGUCAUCUCUGUUACCUCAGACAGCCUCAGAUCUCUGGGCUCCUUCGCCACGCUGCGCCGUACACACACGCUGAGGGCACCCGUACAGUACAGGAGAGGUUAUCUGAGCGUCUGGGAGAGCUGGACCCUUUUAUUAAAGCUGCUCUGGAUUCCAGCAGUGUUGACGAGCGAGCUAUGGGGAAGCACCAGUGCUGAUCUGCUCGGCUGCUCUCGCUCCCUCCACAUUACGGCUGCACAGAUGUGUGUCCUGCCAUGCGUGGCAGUGAAUUAUCUGAUUAAUUAAUUACAUUUUUUUUGAUUAGGGUGAAAUCUAGAAUUAGAUCCAUGCUUGCUAAAUUGGCCAGCUAUCUCUGGGUUGGUUUGUAUUUGUGAGGAUUCAUUAGCUCACUUUAUUGAUGUUAUGCUACAUUAUACAUUUUAUUUUUUCAUUACAACUCCACGAUCGUUGUUCUCUUGUAAGGAUGAAUUAAAGAGAAAUAUUCAGACAGAAUCAUUAAAUCUCCCGGAUGGUCUGAAUGCAACAACUUACACUGAGGCAAAAAUGAUGCACCUGUUUGAUUCUCUAUCAACAGGAAACACUCAGCAUCACUUGUUCGAUUAAUUCAUGGGGACAGUAUUAAAUAAAAACAACAACUAUUAAAUAACAAAAUCUAGAACGGUUAUGUUUGCUUGUAUAAUAUGAUGAGGGAGUUAAAGCAUCCAAAUAGUGUAGAGACCAUGUGCAUUCUUUUCUGCUCCGUUUUGAAUUGGAGCUGUUACGGUGGUGGUGAAGUCAUCAUGGG